rnacentral:rRNA from 1 species
UACGGAGGGUGCAAGCGUUAUCCGGAUUCACUGGGUUUAAAGGGUGCGUAGGUGGGUCUGUAAGUCAGUGGUGAAAUCUCCGAGCUUAACUCGGAAACUGCCAUUGAUACUAUAGGUCUUGAAUUAUCUGGAGGUAAGCGGAAUAAUGUCAUGUAGCGGUGAAAUGCUUAGAUAUACAUAGAACACCAAUUGCGAAAGGCAGCUUGCUACAGGAAUAUUGACACUGAGGCACGAAAGCGUGGGGGAUCAAAACAGG